AAACAUUAAAUGGACUUUUAACCUAGGAUGCUAAUCCGAAGUUUGAGAAUCAUGAUAAAAUUUUAGCAGCACUUUACUACCUUCAAAUCAAAUUUUGGAUAACCAUUCUCUUAAGAACCAGAAGGUGAAGACCAAAAACCAUGCAGCACUUCGUAUCAACAGUGCUUCGUCCCAUCAAUUGUCUUCAUGUCGGGUCUCUGGCUCCGGUUAAACCACCACGCCAGAAGCCGAUGGAACUAGCUUGUUGAGAUGUUGGUCUAAAGGGUUUGUAAGAAGGAAGGUUUGCCUCUAUCUAUAGUCAUUCUUUUUUCCAUAAUAUCAUUGAUUGUUUAAUAUAGUGCUGAAAACUAUAAGAGAAAAUAUUAGGAAAGAUUUAGAGGUUAAUGAGCUUGAUCCAAAUAUAGUUUAUGAUCCAACAUUAUGGCGUAAUUUGAUCCAUGUACCCGACCCCAUUGAGUGGGAUAAGGCUUUGUUGUUGUUGUUUGCAAGUUACAAGAUAGAGAUCCUUGUGUUAUUCGUAGAAGUGAGAAUUUUUUUGCAGCGUCCUUAUGUGUCAUAAUUUUUUAAGUUUAAUUUUUUGCUUUUUGAGUUUUUGGAUUGUAACAUUCAGGAAAACUUGUAAUCAUAGCAGGAAAAAAAAAUCAAGAAGAGAAUGUGAAGGAAGCAUGGCCAUGGACAUAAGUGAAGUUGCCUCUACAGCUACCAAAUGUACAUACAUAAGGGUGAAAAUAUCAGUGCAUCAAAAGUGAGUCCAUCUGUGAUAUGGGUUAUAUGGGAAAAUAAUUUCUUUGGAGUAAGUAUCAAUUUUUGCACAAAUAGAAAAUACAUCAUUGUACAGCCCGAUAUGUAUAUACAUAGUUUUUUUUUUUUUAAAAGAUAUACAUAGUUCUAAUCAUCAAUAGAUGCAGAAAAACUUAGUACCAAUGGGUCAACUACAAACUAAUUCUGAACAAAAUGUGGUAAACUAACAUCAAACAGUAUCAGUUUGCCUUCUGAAUUACCAUGUCCUGUAAGUGCAUAGGAUAGCACAUUUUAGCGUGCUCACCAUUCCAUAUAUUGGCUGCCAAAAUUCCAUUCACUGUAUCAGUUGGAUGGAACUGGUCCCACCAGAUAUAGUUGGAUGCGUUACUGCACGCCAUUUCAGGCGAUAAGCACAUCAACCAACCCUUGUACUUCCCGGAUCCACAGCAAGCCUCGGACGUGACGUUAAAGCCUAAUCAGGGAACACAAAGCAGAGUAAGAUAUGAUAAUGAAGCUACUACAGUUUCCUAAUAGAAUGAGAGCUGGAAAAAAAACACAAAUACAGAAAUACUAAUACCAUAUUGAUCAUGAUUCUUUAAAAUAUCCAUUGAACCUUCAUACACGUCACAGAAGAUGAUAUUGGCAUCAGGGAGCUCCUCAGCAAGCUUUUCAACAAUGUAUCUCAUGAGAAAGUUAAACUCAAUGGCCAUGUCAUUUAUCGGUUCAACACAUUCUCCAUUCUGAAUACCGUACUCCCACAUAUAGCGAGGGGCACAACCAAUAGGGGCAAGUCCCAUGACCACCAUUUUCCUAACAUUUAAGUUGUACAAGUUCUGUAUCAUCAAGGUUAAUAUAUCAGGAAUCAAUUUAACCCCUUCAGUUUCUGUAUGCAACCAAUGAAGUUUUUGGUUGAUAGAUUUAGACUCAUAAAAUUUCACAUGAUCAUAUUCACAUGAAAAAAAAUUAAGUUUAGGUGUAUUUUACCUUUAUUUCUCGCAUGAGUGAAGAUGCUAAAAACCGGUUAAAGUGCCAUGGAAGGAACAAAUUAUCAACAUUGGAUGCAUUGAGCAAAUAGUAAUGAAUGUAGUCAUUGAUUCCAAUAGAGAUAUAAACAAUGGAAUUGGAUAUGAGAGUCUUUGCAGCAUCCUCUCCCAUGCUUAUUAUAAGCUGCUGAAAUGUGUCAGUAAAUUGUUGAACCUGCU
rnacentral:lncRNA from 1 species